rfam:Oryza sativa Japonica Group DNA, chromosome 11, cultivar: Nipponbare, complete sequence.
UUAAAAGACAGUCAUGAGUUUUUUGUCUAAUUUUGAUGGUUCGUUUUAUUUAAAAAAAAUAGUAUUUUUGUUGUUAUUAGAUGAUAAAACAUAAAUAGUAUUUUAUUUGUGACUUAUGUUUUUUAAAUUUUUUCAAAAAAAGUUAAAUAAAACGAAUAAUUAAAAUUGAAUACGGAAACUUAUAGCUACGCUUAAA